UGGGGAAUAUUGCACAAUGGGCGAAAGCCUGAUGCAGCAACGCCGCGUGAACGAUGAAGGUCUUCGGAUCGUAAAGUUCUGUUGCAGGGGAAGAUAAUGACGGUACCCUGUGAGGAAGCCCCGGCUAACUACGUGCCAGCAGCCGCGGUAAUACGUAGGGGGCUAGCGUUAUCCGGAUUUACUGGGCGUAAAGGGUGCGUAGGUGGUCCUUCAAGUCGGUGGUUAAAGGCUACGGCUCAACCGUAGUAAGCCGCCGAAACUGGAGGACUUGAGUGCAGGAGAGGAAAGUGGAAUUCCCAGUGUAGCGGUGAAAUGCGUAGAUAUUGGGAGGAACACCAGUAGCGAAGGCGGCUUUCUGGACUGCAACUGACACUGAGGCACGAAAGCGUGGGUAGCAAACAGGAUUAGAUACCCUGGUAGUCCACGCUGUNNCGAUGAGUACUAGGUGUCGGGGGUUACCCCCCUCGGUGCCGCAGCUAACGCAUUAAGUACUCCGCCUGGGGAGUACGCACGCAAGUGUG
rnacentral:rRNA from 1 species